rnacentral:rRNA from 1 species
AGAAAAAGAAAAUUUUAAAAUUGUACCUUUUGUAUCAGGGGCACUUAAAAGUAAAAAAAGAAUUAAUCGAGUAAAACGGACCUUUUUAUUUAGUUAUAGUUGCAUUUAGAAGUAAAAAUUUUUAAGGGGUGAAAAGUGUUCGUCGUUUUUGGUAUCUAAUUGUUUUAAAUUUUAUGGGGUAAGCUCAUGUAAGAUUUAUGUAAAAAAAAAAAUUAAGAAAACUAGGCUUUAGAUUAGCCAAGUUAGUAUAUUGUUUUAAAUAAUUUUUAAAAAAAAUUUUUUGUAAAAUUAUAAAUUUCAUGCUAAUGUUUUAUAUUUAGCACAAAAAAUGAGUGUAUUGAAUAAAUAAUGAAAUUAAAAAAUAACUCGUGGUAACUGAGAAUGUUUAACAAAAACAUUUUUGUUUGCUUAAAAACAAUAAGGCCUGCCCAGUGAGAGUUUAACGGCUGCGGUAUUUUGACUGUGCUAAGGUAGCAUAAUCAUUUGUUUUUUAAUUGGAAACUGGAAUGAAAGGUUAAACUAAGUUAUGUAGUUUGUAAAUUAAUUAAUAAAUUAAAGUCAAGGUAAGAAUUCUUUGAUCUUCUAGGGGACGAUAAGACCCUAGAAGCUUUAUAAGUAGAAUAUUUUUUAGUGGUAAAUAUUAGCUUAUUUCACUGGGGCGGUGUAAGUAUUUAAACUAUUGUAAAUUUAAUAGAUCCUUAAUAUAAAGAGAAAAUGGAUAAGUUACUCUAGGGAUAACAGUGCAAUAUUUUUGAAGAGACCUUAUCGAUAAAGAUGUUUGCAACCUCGAUGUUGAAUUAAGAUUUCUACAUGAAGCAGAAAGCAUAGUAGAGGGUUUGUUCAACCUUUAAAU